rnacentral:rRNA from 1 species
CCUACGGGUGGCAGCAGUGAGGAAUAUUGGUCAAUGGGCGUAAGCCUGAACCAGCCAAGUCGCGUGAGGGAUGAAGGCUCUAUGGAUCGUAAACCUCUUUUAUAAGGGAAUAAAGUGCGGGACGUGUCCCGUUUUGCAUGUACCUUAUGAAUAAGGAUCGGCUAACUCCGUGCCAGCAGCCGCGGUAAUACGGAGGAUCCGAGCGUUAUCCGGAUUUAUUGGGUUUAAAGGGUGCGUAGGCGGCCUUUUAAGGCAGCGGUGAAAGGCUGUGGCUCAACCGUAGAAUUGCCGUUGAAAAUGGGAGGCUUGAGUAUGUUUGAGGCAGGCGGAAUGCGUGGUGUAGCGGUGAAAUGCUUAGAUAUCACGCAGAACCACGAUUGCGAAGGCAGCCUGCCAGGCCGUGACUGACGCUGAUGCACGAAAGCGUGGGGAUCAAACAGGAUUAGAUACCCCUGUAGUC